rnacentral:rRNA from 1 species
GGGAGUAACGCGUGGGGAACCUACCCUACUACAGGGGAGUAACAGCUGGAAACGACUGCUAAUACCGCAUAAGCGCACAGAAUCGCAUGAUUCAGUGUGAAAAGCCCUGGCAGUAUAGGAUGGUCCCGCGUCUGAUUAGCUGGUUGGUGAGGUAACGGCUCACCAAGGCGACGACCAGUAGCCGGCUUGAGAGAGUGAACGGCCACAUUGGGACUGAGACACGGCCCAA